AGAGGCGUCCGCGGCCAUUGGGACUGGAAGCCGCCGCCGCCUCUUCCCCCCCUCCCCCCCUAUCCACUCCCACCUAAAACCCUAGCUAGAUCCCCUCAGCCAGCCGCCCAUGCUCCUCCUCGCCUGAGCUCCGCCCCUGCCCCCGCCCCUCUCAAUGGCGCUCCAGCUUCGCCGCCUCCUCCCGCACGGCUACGCGCACCGCGCCGUCACCCUCGCCACCAAGCCGCUGCCGCCGGCGCCGGCCAUGCUUCACUUUGGGACUUCCCAGAGAUACUCAUGCUCCUUCAUGCCUUAUUCGCCUCUCCGUCCUUGUCAAAUGUGUGGAGUCGCAGUACGGAAUAGUGCAACGAGGAAAAUGUCUCUAAGAAAUAGCUCUCAGCUCGCCCUACAGCUCAGAAGCAGUGCCUUUUUGACUACUGGGCUCUCGGGGUACCACAGUUCUGUAAGUUCCAGGGCUGCAGCUAUCUGUGGAGUUGCUUUAAAGGCUACCAGUAGUGUUAAUUCACGGCUCUUCUCGACUGCAUAUGGUAAAAAGUUAAGGCUUCUCAUUAGAAAUAAGAGCUCAUUUAGCCAUCCAAAUAUAAAUAGGGAAGAUGGGAGUGCUGCCCAUAGUUACGUCCAUAAAUCUGAGAGACGCAAAAGCACACUAGCUGCAUGUAGCACCAUCGCUGAUGAGGCUUCCACAUCUACUAGCAAGUGCAGCGAGAGUGGUACAGAUACUAAAAAGGACAUUGCAAAGAAGAAGAAUUCUAGAGGCAGCAAAAAAGAAGUUAGUGCAGAUGUGAAAGAAAAGAAAGUUUCUACCAAGAAAAAGAGCACUUCUGCUAAAACUAGUAAAACAGCAGCAAAGACAACUGAGAAAGCUAGUGCGAAGCAAGAAGAAAAGAAGGUCGACGCAUCUAAACCAAAGAAAGGGGUUGGUAGUUCCAAAGAGAAAAAAACAGUAACCAGAUCGAAGAAACCUGUGAAAGCAAAGGAGUCAGCUGCUAUUGCAGCCGCUGAAACAAAGAAUUGCAUGGAGACCACUGUUGAUAGUUCUGGUAGCGAGAGGAGGCCACUUGUACCUCUUUACCCCCCGGUAGCUAAAUCAGUAGUUGUUGUUGAAUCAGCUAUAAAAGCAAAAGUUAUUCAAAAAUACCUUGGGGACAUGUAUGAAGUAUUACCUAGCUAUGGUCAUGUGAGAGAUCUAGCUGGAAGGUCAAAAUCUGUCCGCCCUGAUGACGACUUCAGCAUGGUAUGGGAGGUGCCUACUGCUGCCUGGACACACCUUAAAAGCAUUAAAGUUGCAUUGAAAGGAGCAGAAAAUUUGAUUCUCGCUUCUGACCCUGACCGUGAAGGUGAAGCAAUUGCUUGGCACAUAAAGGAAAUGCUUGAACAGCAGCCGGGUGUGUUGGGUUCCCAUGUUACUGUUGCAAGAGUUGUCUUCCAUGAAAUUACAGAGGAUGCUAUUAAAAACGCUUUAAUGUCUCCAAGAUAUAUUGAUAUGGACUUAGUUAAUGCUUACCUUGCACGUCGUUCCCUUGAUUAUUUGAUUGGGUUUGGCAUAUCACCACUUUUAUGGAGGAAGUUGCCUGGUUGUCAGUCAGCUGGACGAGUCCAAUCUGCAGCUUUGGCUCUUGUAUGUGAUCGGGAGACUGAAAUAGAACGGUUUACCCCGCAGGAAUAUUGGACUGUUGAUACUGAAUUCGAAACCCAGUGUUCGGAUUCUUCAAAAGGCCUAUGUCUUACAUCCCGGAUAAAGCUUCUCAAUUCAAAAAAGUUGGAUCAGCUUUCUAUAAGCUCUCAAGAAGAAGCACGAGCAAUAGAAAAGAGGAUUUAUUCUUGCCAAUUCGAAGUAAGAGGUGUUAAGAGAAGCAAAAUUUGCAAGAAUCCUCCAAUGCCGUAUAUAACAUCCAGCCUUCAGCAGGAUGCAGCAAACAAACUACAUUUUGGUGCAGGGCGUACCAUGAAGGUAGCCCAGAAGCUUUAUGAAGGGAUCAGUCUUUCGUCAGAACAAACAACGGGGUUAAUAACGUACCUCAGAACAGAUGGGUUUCAUAUUUCUGAUGGAGCCGCAGAAGAUAUUCGUUCGUUAGUGAAAGAAAGGUAUGGAGAGCAAUAUGCACCAGAGGAUAUUAGGAAGUACUUGAAUAAGGUGAAAAAUGCUCAAGAGGCCCAUGAAGCCAUAAGGCCCACCAGCAUAAGGAGGUUGCCAUCAUCUUUGAUUGGAAUACUUGAUGAGGAUUCUUUGAAACUGUACACUCUAAUAUGGAGAAGAACAAUGGCUUGCCAAAUGGAAGCUUCAAGGACUGAGCUGAUUCAAGUUGACAUUAGUAAUCCUGAAGGCGACAUGAUUUUUCAUUCAUCUGCAUCAAGGCUUGACUUCAAGGGGUACCAAGCCGUCUAUGAGGACACUGAAGCAAGUGGGUCCAGUGAAAGCCCUGAAGGAGAAGCUGCACAUCAGGAUAAUUUUGAGGCCUUGUCCAAAUUAAAGAUGAAAGAUUUGGCGUCUCCCGUUAACGUGAAUCUCGGGCAGCACUUUACUAAACCUCCAUCCCGUUAUUCUGAGGGUGCAUUGAUAAAAAAGAUGGAGGAACUUGGAAUUGGAAGGCCGUCUACGUACGCCUCUAUAAUGAGGGUGUUGCAGGACCGGAAAUACGUGACAAUAAAAAGUCGAGUUCUGCACCCUGAGUUUCGUGGUCGAAUGGUCUCAGCAUUUCUUUCACAUCUUUUCUCUGAGAUUGCCGAUUACAGCUUUACUGCUAACAUGGAGACGGAGCUAGACAAUGUCUCUGCUGGUUCAACUGAAUGGAAGGGCCUCCUGACAGAUUACUGGGAACGAUUCACCAAAUACUGCACAGAUGCUAGUCAAUGGGAUGUUAGAAAGGUAGAGAGAAUGCUUGAAGAGAAAUUCCUUCCUAUCCUCUUUCCUGACCUUGACACCGAUAGUAGGGUUUGCCCUAGUUGUUCUGAAGGGACCCUGAGAUUUAAAGUUAGUAGGUACGGCGAAGGCUAUUUUAUAGGCUGUGACCGACAUCCAAAAUGCAAGUACAUCGCCCGCACAUUAUCAGAUGAAGAUGACGAAAAUGAAACCUCCGAGGAAACUCCGAAGUCUUUUGAACCUCGGUUACUUGGUGUCAAGCCUGAUACAAACGAAAAGGUCUUCUUAAAACAAGGUCCUUAUGGUUACUACAUCCAGGUUGGAGAGGAUAGGAAAGGAGCGUCCCAGAAAAGGGCUCCUAUUUCCGAGGUCAAAGAUAUUAACUCUAUCACCAUCGAAGAUGCAAUUGAGCUAUUGCAGUAUCCAAAAGUUCUGGGGAAACAUCCUGAUGAUGAGCAUCCUGUACUUAUGACACAUUCUAAAGCUGGAUUUAGCGUCCGGCACAGGAGAAGCCUUGCUCCAGUGCCAAAGACUCACGACCCAAAGAAGGUUACACUUGAGCGUGCACUGAAGUAUCUGACGGGUAAAAAUGUCAAAAAGUUUGGUCGACCAAAGGGAAAAACUAACAAAAAUGCAGAACCCAUUGAAUGGCAUUAAGUGAUCGGCUGUCACAGAUGCAGAUGCAAUGUUGAAACUUGCACAGGCUCCGAAUAACAAAGAUGACAAAGGAGAGCUGGUGGUUCAACAGCCGAUAGAAAUCAACCUUACCUGGACUUUGUCAUUGAAGAGACUCAAGACCCAAAGAAGUUUACACUUGAGCGUGCUCUGAAGUAUCUGAUGAAUAAAAAUGUCAGAAAGUUUGAUCGACCAAAGGGGGAAAACUAACAAAAAUGUAGAGCCCGUUGAAUGGCAUGAAGUGAUCAGUUGUCAUAGAUGCAAUGUGGAAACUUGCACAAGCUCUAAAUAACAAAGACCAACUAAAAGAUCUCAUGUGCUUUACUUGGGCCAGAAAUAGCCUUGUACAUGCUCAUAGAGGAGAAUUUCUGAGUGGUGCCAGCCAUGAUCCAAGAGUCUCUGCCUGAUGUGGACUCCCUGGUUGAAAUUAUGUCUUGAAGUUCAUUGAACUGGUUGAAAGCCUGGAGUGACAGAGGUCUAUGGAAAAUAAUACUUAAGUCUUCAUGCUGCUGAGCCUGUGAUAGAGUGAUGUCUGUAUUGAUAGCAAAAGAGUGAAGCUCAGGGAACAGAGUGCUCAGAGGUAUGUUCAUCCACUUAUCUGACCAGAGCAUAAUGGUGUCUCCUCUUCCAGCUUUGCACUUUGUAUGCUCUUUUAAUGUAGGUAACAGUUUCAAUAUUGAUUUCCACCAGAAUGAACCAAUCAAUCUAUCUCCAGGUAGACUGUCCUGAUAAUAUGCUUCCCAAAUAAUAUUCACCCAUGGUAUGUCUUCUCUAUUGAAGAACUUCUUUAGAAAUUUCAUGAGCAUGGCUUGAUUAUGAACCUGAAGAUCUAGCACACCCAGACCACCAUGGGAUUUAGGCAGACACACUUUCUCCCAAGAAAUCAAUACCAAGCCUCUGUCAUGUGAUCCAUAUUUCCUCCAGAAGCAAUUCAUCAGGUAGGAGUUGAUUUGUUUAAGUAUAGUCUUUGGGAUCAUGAGAGUACACAUGAAAAAGGUUGGCAUGCUUGUAAAGACAAACUUGAGCAAGGUAAGCUUAUCUCCAGUAGAUAACAUAGUUGAGCAGCUAAGCAGUCUGUUCUCAAUUUUGUUCAACAUAGGCAAAAAGAAUGAGCAGUCAGUAUUUAUUCAAGUAGUUAUAUGCACCUAGCUGCUGCCGAUUAUUCCGGUAAUGCUUUUUGA